GGAAAGGAAGGAGAUGCUGGGCUGACUGGGCCCCACAGCUCUGGGCUCUUCCAGAUGAAACUGAGUUAUAGCAGUUAAACUGUAGAAUUGAUAAAUACUGACAUUCUUUUUCUUAUGGCCUCAAAUAACACCGGUGUUCUGGCAGCCUCUUCAUGAGCACAGAGCAGAGGUAGUGCUCCUUUGUGUUCUAGCAGAGAUGGGGCAGGUGGGCCCCUCAGGGGAGGGAGGGGGGCAGGCCUGACAGUGAAUGGCAGUCAAAACAUCCCUUUCAAGAGAGCCAGUUUCUAAAGUUCCUAUGUGUCUUUUCUCAGAACACACACACACACACACACACACACACACACACACACACACACACACACACACACACACGAAAAACAAAAGGAACUAAAUUGCUGUCAAAAUCCCUUCCAAACUCCCAGAAAUGAAAUCUGCAUUACCUCUAAGUGAAGAUCGUCGUAUAGAACGCAAGCUUCCAUGGAAACUUCAGGAACAUAAAAGGAAAUGUUCUGACGGUAAUUUCAGAGGGCAAGAUGGGAGAGAAGACUUAGCCAACCGGCUGGGAGCAUGCAACACUGCCACAGAACAAGAGAGAUCCCACCUCAACAAGAUAGAAGACAAGAACUGACUUCUGAAAGGGAUGAGUGCUGUGUACGCAUGGGUGGUGGUUGUUGUUGCUGUUUCCUAAGUAAGAAGAAGGCCACAGAAGAGAGUAACACAACUUCCCAGGAACAUGAAG
rnacentral:lncRNA from 1 species